UAAUAAGUGUUUUAUGGCACUUUUUAAAUCCAUAUCCAGCCUUGUGUGCAAUGUCAGUCGAUCUUCUUCAUGGAGAUCGACCAAACAUCAACCUUUAUUUUUAACUCUUUGUCUGAAAAAUAUUAUGAAUAAACAAUUCAAAAUA
rnacentral:misc_RNA from 1 species